GAUGGCUGUCGUCGGCUCGUGCCGUGAGGUGUAUGGUUAAGUCCUGCAACGAGCGCAACCCUCGUCGCUAGUUGAUUUCUCUAGCGAGACUGCCCCGCAAACGGGAGGAAGGUGGGGAUGACGUCAAGUCAGCAUGGCCUUUAUAUCUUGGGCUACACACACGCUACAAUGGAUGGCACAAUAGGUUGCAACAGCGCGAGCUGAAGCUAAUCCCCAAAGCCAUCCUCAGUACAGAUUGCAGGCUGAAACCCGCCUGCAUGAAGUCGGAGUUGCUAGUAACCGCAAAUCAGCAUGUUGCGGUGAAUACGUUCUCGGGCCUU
rnacentral:rRNA from 1 species